rnacentral:rRNA from 1 species
UCCUACUCCUAAACGAGUGAUUUUAUUUCCCAAUAAAAACCCCCAUGCUAGAACUAGUAAUGAGAACAAUUCUCUUAGCACACCCUUAAACCAGAACCGAAAGACUACUGGUAGUUAACAGACCACAAGCAGAUCGACACACACCAACCAGCCUACUGUCAACUCUCACCUGUUACCCCAACACAGGUGUGCAAAAAAGAAAGGCCAAAACCCGCAAAAGGAACUCGGCAAAGCGAAGUCCCAACUGUUUACCAAAAACAUAGCCUUUAGCCCAACAAGUAUUAAAGGUCUCGCCUGCCCAGUGACUAUUCAACGGCCGCGGUAUCCUAACCGUGCAAAGGUAGCAUAAUCACUUGUCCCCUAAAUAGGGACUUGAAUGAACGGCUAAAUGAGGACUAAACUGUCUCUUGCAGAAAGCCAAUGAAACUGAUCUUCCAGUCCAAAAGCUGGAAUAUUAACAUAAGACGAGAAGACCCUGUGGAGCUUUAAACCUUGAUCACCAAACAUGUUUCUCCUGGUUUUUAGUUGGGGCGACUUCGGAGCACAAAACAACCUCCGACAAAAUACUAUAUCAAGACCUACACAUCAAAAUAAUCAACUUGACCCAGUAGUUUUAAUUAAACUAUCUGAUCAAUGAACCAAGUUACCCCAGGGAUAACAGCGCUAUCCCCUUCUAGAGUCCCUAUCGACAGGGGGCUUACGACCUCGAUGUUGGAUCAGGAAAUCCUAAUAGUGCAGCCGCUAUAAAGGGUUCGUUUGUUCAACGAUUAAUAACCUA